GGCAACUUGCCAGAGUGGUUAUCGGGUCAGUUUCGAAUUAGGUCAUUUAGAGCAUUACCACGAGUCGUUAGCUGAUGUGCUUGCACGCACAGGUUCGAAUCCUGUAGUUGUCG